rnacentral:rRNA from 1 species
AUUGAACGCUGGCGGCAGGCCUAACACAUGCAAGUCGCGCGAGCGGCGGACGGUUGAGUAAUGUCUGGGCACCUGCCUGAUCGAGGGGGAUAACUACUGGAAACGGUAGCUAAUACCGCCUACGAUCCGAUGCUCCCAUAUGGGAUUAGCUAGUAGUUGGGGAAAAGGCUAACGUAGGCGACGAUCCCUAGCUGGUCUGAGAGGAUGACCAGCCACACUGGAAGUGAGACAAGGUCCAGACUCCUACGGGAGGCAGAAGUGGGGAAUAUUGUACAAUGGGCGCAAGCCUGAUGCAGCCAUGCCGAGUGUAUGAAGAAGGCCUUAGGGUUGUAAAGCACUUUCAGCGGGGAGGCGUUACCCGCAGAAGAAGCACCGGCUAACUCCGUGCCAGCAGCCGCGGUAAUAC